GCGGCCUAUCAGCUUGUUGGUGAGGUAAUGGCCCACCAAGGCAAUGACGGGUAGGCGGAGUUAGCGCUUGAUUGCCAACAAGGGCACUGAGACACGGGCCCUACCUCUACGGAGGGCAGCAGUCGAGAAUCAUAGACAAUGGGGGAAACCCUGAUCUUGUGACGUCGCGUGUCUGAUGAAGCCCUACGGGGUGUAAAGGACUUUUCUGGAGGACGAAGCCUAGUGUGCAAGCGCUGGGUUGACGGUACUCCAGGAACAAGGGGGUGCUAAUUUUGUGCCAGCAGCAGCGGUAAUACAAAGUCCCCAAGCAUUAUCCGGAGUCACUGGGCGUAAAGGGUUCGCAGGCGGUCUGAAAGGUUUUCUGUUAAAUUUCCAGGGCUCAACCUUGGAAGUGCAGAAAAAACCGGUAGACUAGAGGGCGCUAGAGGCUAGUAGAACGGCUGGUGUAGGGGUGGAAUCCGUUGAUAUCAGCCGGAAUCCCAAAAGCGAAGGCAACUAGCUAGGGCGACCCAGACGCUGAGGAACGAAGGCAUGGGUAGCGAAGAGGAUUAGAUACCCUCGUAGUCCAUGCUGUAAAUGUUGGACACUAGCUUCUUGAAGUGUCGACCCUUCAAGUGGCGAAGCUAACGCGUUAAGUGUCCCGCCUGGGGAGUACG
rnacentral:rRNA from 1 species